AUUGAACGCUGGCGGCAUGCUUUACACAUGCAAGUCGAACGGUAACAGGCCGCAAGGUGCUGACGAGUGGCGAACGGGUGCGUAAUGCAUCGGAACGUGCCCAGUCGUGGGGGAUAACUACUCGAAAGAGUAGCUAAUACCGCAUACGAUCUAUGGAUGAAAGCGGGGGACCGUAAGGCCUCGCGCGAUUGGAGCGGCCGAUGUCAGAUUAGGUAGUUGGUGGGGUAAAGGCUCACCAAGCCAACGAUCUGUAGCUGGUCUGAGAGGACGGCCCGCCACACUGGGAGUGAGACAGGGCCCAGACUCCUACGGGAGGCAGCAGUGGGGAAUUUUGGACAAUGGGCGCAAGCCUGAUCCAGCAAUGCCGCGUGCAGGAAGGAGGCCUUCGGGUUGUAAACUGCUUUUGUACGGAACGAAACGGCUCUGGUUAAUACCCGGGGCUAAUGACGGUACCGUAAGAAUAAGCACCGGCUAACUACGUG
rnacentral:rRNA from 1 species